AUUGAACGCUGGCGGCAGGCCUAACACAUGCGAGUCGAGCGGAUGAAGGGAGCUUGCUCCUGGAUUCAGCGGCGGACGGGUGAGUAAUGCCUAGGAAUCUGCCUGGUAGUGGGGGAUAACGUCCGGAAACGGGCGCUAAUACCGCAUACGUCCUGAGGGAGAAAGUGGGGGAUCUUCGGACCUCACGCUAUCAGAUGAGCCUAGGUCGGAUUAGCUAGUUGGUGGGGUAAAGGCCUACCAAGGCGACGAUCCGUAACUGGUCUGAGAGGAUGAUCAGUCACACUGGAACUGAGACACGGUCCAGAUCCCUACGGGAGGAAGAGGUGGGGAAUAUUGGACAAUGGGCGAAAGCCUGAUCCAGCCAGGCGGGGUGUGUGAAGAAGGUCUUGGAUUGUAAAGCACUUUAAGUUGGGAGGAAGGGCAGUAAGUUAAUACCUUGCUGUUUUGACGUUACCAACAGAAUAAGCACCGGCUAACUUCGUG
rnacentral:rRNA from 1 species